AGAGAGUGAGCCGAGCUGUCACCCUGCACCCAAGCACAGGCGUUCGUAUUGAACAGAGAAGCCGGCUACCUGUUACAUUCUCACUGCUGCUUGUGUUGCUGCUGGUGCUCGGCAUGUUUCUUCAUGGAGCUUGAGCAGCUGUGACAGGCUGAGCGAUCCCUCCCUCUGCUCAGAAACCAGCCCAGCUACCCCUUAGGGUAUACCUUUACACUGCAGAGACUGGAUGGAGGGAGCAGGGGAAUUCUGCCUGAAGGAUCUUGACCUACUCCUCCAGGAUUUCUUUAACAUGCCUGUGAUGUGUGAUCCUUUGCCGUUACUAUGCUGCCCUCUGUCGGUGAGAUGAGGGAAGCUCUAAAGCCACCAAUGCAGACGAGCCCUGAAAGUUCAUUUCUGUGUGGAUAUUCAGUGUAUAUAAAAGUGUCCCAUUUGUCUGCGUUUGGGAGAGAAGCUGGUGACGUCACAUUCCCAGCAGCGUAACCGUCCUACUGGGAUUAGAAAAAAUACACCGCGGCAAGAUCGUGUUGGCCGGACUGUCAAUCAAAACACGAAAGUGCAAAUCGGAGCGACCAGAUUGGCAGUUGGUCACGUGAUUGCUCAGCUGCCUCAUGUGUCUUAUUAUUUUACAUUAUUUACAAAAGCUGUUUAUUCUUCUUCUUAUUAUUAUUGUUGCUAUUAUUGUUAAUUUUAUUUAUUUUUUGAAUGUCAGUUUAUUAAAAAUGAAAUAAGAUGUGCCAUUGUUCAGUAAAGACAACACAAACACACGGUGGGCGUGUUUGUAUUAAACGUUACUUGGUCAGCUA